UCGUUUUUCUCUCUGGCGAUUCUGGAGUCUUUUCUGAAGCCGUGAAAUCAAAAAGAAACUUAGGGGAAACAAUUAUCUAGUUUAAUAGAUGAAGAAGGGGUGACUGUUCUGUGAAACUUUGAAGAAGGAGAUGCUUUUGAUAAUGAAUCGAAAACAGGUAAUUAGGUUUCAAAUUGAUUGAUGUUUCUUUAUGAAAUCGUUCUGUUUUGAUUAAUUAUAGAGUGGGUUUGCUGUUAAUUGAAGUAUAGAUAGGUUUAUGGAAUUUAAUUUUAGUUUCUUAGUUAAUCAAAUCUGAAAUUAGGGUUCGUAUGAAUUAAGUUCAUUGGUUCGGUUGCUGCUGAUGAAGAAGAUGAACUAGAUUGAGGUUGGGUUUUAAUUCAGGUUUCCAAAGAAGAAUCAGAAGUUAGGGUUUUUAAUUUAGAAGAUGGUAGAAUUGAGAUGUGAAUCGAAUUAAGGUUAGAUGAUAUGAAGAUGGGUCUGUUGUUGUUUCAAUGGGGUUGAUGAUUGUAGGUUGAAUUACAGAGAACUGAUUACAGGACAUGAAAUGAGUCAGUAUGGUGUUGAUACCUGGUUGCUGGUGCAGGACAAUGAAGGAAAGUUGGUAUUAUUACUUAAAUUGUAAUGAAGUGAUUUGGAUGAGUUGUAGAUGAUUUGGUUGUACAAGUGAAGUUGUUGGUGUUGAACUGGAUUAUGUGAAUGGCUUGCUUGACUACAGUUCAUGGAAUUGGCAGUGAUUAGAUAAAUGGGUGUAUUUGAGUAAGAGUUAAUAGAUUUGUGAUUGUGAUCCAUGUUAUUGGUAAAGUAACAAAGAAGUUGUUGGGGUUCAAUAUGCGAGGCAGCUAGUGAGAAUAUGAAGUAAAGGUUGGUGCUGUUAACUUGAGUAUAGUGCCGCCAUUAUGGAUGGAGUGGAGUGAAGCUAAGAAGACGACAAUGCUGAGAGUGUUUCAUUUGGAUUGAAAGUGCUGAGGAGGAUAUUUUGAUUCAGCUGAACUGGUGUGCUGGUGGUGUUGAUUAGGAUGUGUUGUAUCUAGAGAUGGAAAGUUUUGUGAACUGGUGUUGGAAGUGGAGUUGAACUGUGGGUGUGGGUGAUAUGGAAUGCAAUUGAGUUGCAGUCAAAGAUUAUGAAUAAACUGUGGGGGGUUCAUGGUAUUAAAUGGAGCUGGUAUUAGUAUUACAGAUAUGAAGAUUGUGACUUUGAAGUUAGUGUUGUAUGAGAUGAAGUUUAGAUGUAUGAAAUUGAAAUAACUGAGUUGGUGUAAGAGUAAUGAAAUGGAAAGCAAUUACAGGUGUAAAUGAUACAAACGGAUUCUAGUGUUGUAAUUAGAAGUUUUAGAAUUACAAGGCAGAGAAGAGAUCUUUAAGUUGUGUUCACUUGCAAUGAGAGUUAGAAAUGCGUUAUUUGAGUUUUAGUCUGUUAUGUGUUGCUCUAUGCUUUAGUCUUGGCAUGUUUAAUCUGAAUCAUUUUUACUGACUGAGUUAACUCACCUAUUUCCUAUUUGACUCAGUGAACCUUGGAUUCAGUUGAUUUGACCUUGACCUCCUGACAGUUGACUGUUAAUUGACCUCUGACUGUUAUUGACAGUUAGUUGACUUAGGUGGAAUGGGCCUCGUGUAAUGGACUUGGUUUAGUGAACUUGGGCUUAUAGUCAGUUUUCCAAAUGAAUAUAUAAUAUACCUUAGCGGUCUGAAUUAACAUUUGGUUUCUUAUAUAAGGUUGUAGAUAUUUUUAAGACUUAACUAAUGACUUUUAGAAUCAACCUAAUUUAAUUAGGAACUCUUAAAUAUGCUAAAGAUAGAUAAAUAAAAGGUGUAGAACCAUAAAUGGACUUAGAACCUUAGAUAAUUCACUUAGCAUAUAACUGGAGCUUGUAUGAGAUUAUGUAUGAGCCUUGUAUGAUCCUUUUGGAUAAAUUUUUAGAGUGCUUGUGUGAUUAACAAUUAGUCUGUAUUAACGACGAUCGAUUCAAAGGAUGAACCAGUGGAUCGUGGAUCUCGAGGUAGGCGUGGAUUGUCAUCAAAAGAUGUGGGAAUACUUUAACUCUUUUGUAACCAUUGAUGUUGUUUCUUUGAUAAAAGUCUUUGUUUAACAAACUCAUGCAUUGCCUAAUUGUGUAUUCCAUGCAUUGUUUAUUUUAAAUUUCGAAAAUACUAUUGAUUCUUUUAAUCUUUCCAUUGCUUGGAAAGGAAUUGUAAUGCUUCGCUUGUCUUCAUGAUUGUCUUUGGGAAAUGAGAAUCCAACUAUGGUAUAUCGGAUACGCUCCUUCGUUAUUUUACUUUUGUGCUUUAUACGGUGUGGAAUUGGCAUCAAUAUUACGGGUGUGUACAUUCACCCACAGACUAUCUAGGUGGUACGGCCAUCAAUAUUACGACGUGUAAAUGUCGUCACAGAAAGUUAUCAGUUUCAGAGACAGAUCAGAGUUGCGCAGCGGAAGCUUCGAGGAGUUGACUUCAUUAAUUAGUUAAGUUCUGCUAUAUUUAUUAUGUUUGCAAACCAAAUGACUAUUGUAUAUGUAUCAUUUAAGAGAAGUUCUUGUAUAUGUAUAUUUCUAAGCGGGGCUAGUUUUGGGUUAA